GCCGGUGCUUCAUCAUAGAUCAGGAAACCUGGCCAGAUCAGGGAAACCUGGGCGGCCGCCGCGUAUUUGCAAGACGCUGCAGCCGUUUACAUA
rnacentral:sRNA from 1 species